ensembl:miRNA
CUCCCUCAGGAAGCUGGUUUCAUAUGGUGGUUUAGAUUUAACUACUCCGUGUCUAGCACCAUUUGAAAUCAGUGUUCUUGGAGGAAGAAUG